rnacentral:rRNA from 1 species
AACCAACAGGGAUUGCCUCAGUAACGGCGAGUGAAGCGGCAAAAGCUCAAAUUUUAAAGCUGACAUCUUCGGUGUCCGCGUUGUAAUUUUGUGAGGCAUCUCCGGGUAGGGCGCCGGCCUAAGUUCCUUGGAACAGGACGUCACAGAGGGUGAGAAUCCCGUGCUUGGCUGGCUGUCCCCGUCCAUGUGAGGUGUCUUCGACGAGUCGAGUUGUUUGGGAAUGCAGCUCAAAAUGGGUGGUAAAUUUCAUCUAAAGCUAAAUAUUGGUGGGAGACCGAUAGCGCACAAGUAGAGUGAUCGAAAGAUGAAAAGCACUUUGAAAAUAGAGUUAAAAAGUACGUGAAAUUGUUGAAAGGGAAGCGCUUGAGACCAGACUUCGGUAAGGGGUGAUCAGCCGUCCUUCUGGGCGGUGCACUUGCCCCCCUCCGGGCCAGCAUCGGUUGAGGCGGCGGGAUAAAGGUCUCGGGAAUGUGGCUCCUUCACGGGAGUGUUAUAGCCCGGGUGAAUGCCGCCAGCUUCGACCGAGGACCGCACCCGCAAGGGUUAGGAUGCUUGGCAUAAUGGUCUUCAGCGA